GACGAACGCUGGCGGCGUGCUUAACACAUGCAAGUCGAACGGUGAAGCUCGAGGUUGCUGGCGUGGAUCAGUGGCGAACGGGUGAGUAACACGUGAGCAAACUGCCCCUGACACUGGAAUAAGAGUUGGGAAAGGCGUCUCUUACUGGAUACGAGAAGGGUCAGCACGUGCACUUUCUGGGAAGUUUUGCGGUUGGGGAUGGUCUAGCAGCCUAUCAGCUUGUUGGUGAGGUAGUGGAUGUCAAAGGCGACGACGGGUAGCCGGCCUGGGAGGGCGACCGGCCACACUGGGACUACGACACGGCCCAGUCUCGAACGUGAGGCAGCAGGGGGGAAUAUUACACAAUGGGCCAACGCCUGUUGCGGCGACGCCGCGUGAGGAAUGACGUCCUACUAGUUGUAAACCUCUUUCAGCAGAGAAGAAGCGAAAGUGACGGUACCUGCAGAAGAAGCACCGGCUAACUACGUG
rnacentral:rRNA from 1 species